AAAAAUAGCAAUGUAAGUUCAUACACACACACACAAAAACCCAAUGAUGUCCAAUUGUUGAAAAGUCUGUUCAUACAUUUCUAAGUGAAUACUGAUUAAUAUCAAACGCUAAGGUAUUUUGAUUCCACUAGAUACAUUUACAAGAUAACUGCUGUAUUUAAAAGUGUCUACAAUUACAUACUCAAAGUUGUAUCUUUUGCAACUAUUUAAACCCUUGAUUUUAAAAGUUUAGAUGGCAGUUUAAAAUGUGCUCAAUCCAGUUGUACCAGCAUUUUUUUUGUGUGGACCACUUAAACCAAGAUAACAAUUCAGUACUACCAAUAAUGGGAGAAAAAUUACAUUACAUUCCUCUUGAUAUGAUAUAGCAAGAAAUACAUAUCAUCACCCUAAGUAGUAUUCUUGCUAAAAAAAAAACAAAAAUACACUCCAAUUACUGGUUACACUAGUUCUGAUCAUGAGGAAGUAAUUAAAGCCAGACUGUAGAAUGCUUUACAAAAUAGCUAGCUCAUCAAAAAUGUCAAUGUCAUAAAAGUCUUCCCUGGAGACUGAAGAGACAUGACAACUAAAUGAAAUGUGUGAGCUUGGAAUAAAUUCUUCACCCAAAAAACCAAACCAAAACAAAACAAACAACAAACAGAGUAUAAAGGCAAUUAUUGGGCCAACUAGAUAAAUCUGAAGGGGAAAAAGAUACAGAGUGCUAAAUAUGUCCAAAUAUCAGUUAAGUGUUGAAUCUAGAUGAAGGAUAUAUGAAUGCUCAUUGUAUUAUUCUAUUUUCUGUAUAGAGUUGAAAAUUUUCAAAAUCAAAAGUUAAAAGGGUUGUACUAAAGCCAAAAUUUCAAGACUGCUGACAUAUACUAUAAGCAAAAAAAAAAAAAAUCCAUGAAACAAUUCAACAGUGAGUGAUUCAGGUUCCUCAGCAUGUCAGAUGAUAGAUCCUUUCUGCCUUUCAAAACAUCUCACAAAGGCUAUUCAUAUACAGUUCAAUAAAAAGUAAAGCCAAGUAUGAUGGAUCUCACAGAACUGUAGUAAGACCAGUUUCAUUAAUUAAGCAGAAGAGUCAGGAUUUGAACACCAAAACCCAUGUUUGUUCAUUCACAAUAUGCUAACUGUUAUUACACAGACACACUUUGUUGUUAUAGGAACAGGUUUGCUUUCAUGACACUCAUCAUUUUCAAAAUUACUAACAAAAUCUCUACAAACUUUCCAGGUUCUAUCAAAGAGAAUGAAAUGGACUGCUUUAUCCCCUUUCCCAAAUCAAUCCUAGAGAAAUUACAGGAACCACAAAGGAGCGAAAGAGUCAAGAACUCAGCCAUUCUGACUCCCAAACUCUACGCCAUUUCCUGCCUCCCAACCCCCACAACAGACAGUAAACUCAUUCUGUACAGGUUUUUGAUACUAAUAUUCUUUCAUGCAGUGAUAAGGAUUAUCUAUUGUAUAGUCUGCUAAGGAGUAUUUCAGAACCUCUUUUUGUUAUAGAACUAACUCGAGUUUGAUAGCUGGCUUCACCCUUUACUAGAUUUGUAUUCUUGGGCAAGUUUCUUAACCUCUCUGAACCUGUUUGCAUCUCUGUAAAAUGGUGAUAACAAUACCCACUUCCUAAGAUUAUAAAGAUUAAUGUACUAUACACUGAGAAAUGCUUAGCACAGCACUCAAGAUUUUAGCUACAGCAAGUAAUAUUGAUAGAAGCAGUACCACAAUAGCAGCAGCAGUGACUUGUUUCUAAGAGUUGAACUAUAUUAAUAAAAUUAGCUACAGGAAAGCUGCUUUUACUGGUCUGAUGUUUAGCUGAACAUUUGAUGUGCAAAUUAUAUGUACUACUGCUAUUCUAUUUAUUUUUCUUUUGACUUAACUAACCACAGAAUAGCUUGAUAGUAACAUACAGAUAUUAUUAAAAUUGUCCAAAUUUUGCAUACGAUAAAAAGUUACUUACUCUGGCGGAGGCAUUUUUGAGGGUUCCACAUCCCGCAGGAACUCACACUGAAGAGCCUGCUCUGCAGUGCAGCGCUUACUAGGAUCCAAGGCGAGCAUGUAAUCAAAUAAGUCUAGUGCGGCUGCAGGAAUACUGGCGUGAGAGGAUUACAAAAGUCAUGCGAGUGCUUUGACUCAAGUUUAAUGUUUCUGUAGGAGCUUAAACAUUAGCAUUUUGUAACAUGUUUGCAACAGUUUAUUCCAAUAAGUUACAAAUCUGCCUUUGAAGAACUGCUAUUUUUUACAUAAUUUUGUAAAUUAUUCUAAAUAAUUUGAAAACUGGCAAACAAUAGUGUAUUUACUACUCUGUGGGCAAUUUGCUGUUUUAACAUUAACUAAAAACUGAACAGAACAGUUUCCUACAACAAAAUAAAAAACUGAAUUCAAGUAUCUUGAAAACUGUUUCAUUAAAAUUUUAAAUGAUAUUGUUAAACUUCUCUCAGGUAAACACUAAAUCAAACACACAACCCCAAAUAACUGAUUUCACAAUGAUGGUGAAAUGCUUACUUGCAUGUAGCAAAGGGACAUUCAAAAUUAAAUGAUAUAGUAGAAUUGUGAUAGGUCUACCUUAGGUCAACAGAGGCUAGAGUGACAUUUAGAAUUCUAAAGAAGUAACUUUGUAAAAAAAAUCAAUGCAAUAUGGAUGUUUAAGCAUCCCCUUCUUACAAAACAAAUUCUUCUCUUAACUUUCGACGAUAUUGCUUCUUUGGUUUCAUGGUGUUGAAAUACGGUAGUUUGAUGACAUCAGGCCACACAGCAGGACAUGGACUCCCACAUAUACGGCUAAACAACACACAAAAAGAAGUACAUCAAUAUAAACUACAUGGAAAAAAUAAUACAUACAACUGCUAUACAAAACAACUCCUUUUUAAAUAUACAAAACCUGAAGUUCUGAUAUAAUGUAUAAAAGUUUCAUUAAAUAUUUUAGUCAUCCUAAAUAAACUGUUUUAAGAAUUUCUUUUCAGUGAAUGCUUCUAGCACUCUAUAAAUAUCCCAAUUUCUAACAAGAAAACCUUCAUAUUUGCAAAAUCAAAUCUUAAAGACACAGGUAAUAUUCAAAAGGUUGAGCAUAUUUGGAACCAAAAUUUUAAAUGUUUAUACCAACUGAGGAACUAGAGUUUAGUAUAUGUAUUCUCUGGUUUUGCAGGUACCUAUCAUUACCUCUUCUCAUGAAUAUAAUGAAGUCUGCAAUAACAGCAGAAAAGAUUUCCUACACUGAAGACACUAACUAAACCGUAUAGACUGCUGCUGAAUUUGAUCAACUAGAGAACCCUAAAAGUCACAUUCCUGAAACACAGUUCUUCAAUUUCAGUAGUGCCUCUAAUUUCAAGGUAUUUAGAACUUUUAACUGCUUUGAUCUCUGUAUCUUGAAAUCCCUCACUAUUCUUAUAGUAAGUCCUUCAUAAACUAAAGAAAUGCUGUAACAGAUAACUCUAGCUGAUAAACAUUUUAAAAUGCUUUGGUAGUAUGUAGAUGAAAAACUGGUUAAAUAUGCUUAACUCAAGUAUAUUGAAUCUCAAGAAUAAAUGUGUAUCUUAUGUAAAAUUACCAGCUGACCUUCAUAUAUAAAAAGAAAAGGUCCAUGCAUCACUGACUCAAAAGUUAAAAUAUUCUACACAUACAUAAAUACAUGUACUAAGGUACAGAAGCAACUGACAACUAAAGUUGCCAUUCUUCAGCAGACCUAAGAUCACUAAUACAUUAAAAACAUUUAUACCAGAUGAUGGGAGCAUUUUUAAAGCUGUGUCACUGAAACUGUAUUUGUUUCAAUACAGUUUAGGAUUUUUGUAUAUCCAAGCUUUUAAGAUCUUACUCUUCAAUAUGCCUAGCACUUCUUCCUUUCAAUCUCAUUCUCACAACUUCCUCAAAAGGAGAGAAGGCCAAACUCAGGAGCAUGGCUCUCUAUGAUCGGGUCCCAAAUUGUCUUCCUCAUUCUCAUCUUCCAAUUCAUCUCUCCACAGGCCAACCACUCCUCCAUGUCUUUGUUCAUACUCCUUUUUCCUAGAUUCUACCUAGCUGAAUUCUUUUCAUUCCUGAAGAUGCGCAUCAAAAAUAAUCUACUUACAAUGUUUUCUGUAUCCUCACUGUCCAGAAUAGGCACUUUCUACAUGCUCCUGAUUUCUUUUGACACUAUUUCAUCCUGCUUUACAUUUUAGUUGUUUACAUGACUUUAUCUUACUAAAUUAUGGUAACAGAAUCACUCUUGCACUUUCAUAUACUACAUAAAUAUAAAUAAUCAAUCCCUCGCAGAUUGAUGUGCACCAUAAUAGAAGCAUAAAAUACACUGGAAUAAAGAAAAUUAAGGAUACUUUUAAACUACAGAAAUAUAAGAAAAUGUACUUGAGUUAGAGAAGAGAUACAGAAUUUUGCCUACAACUCAAAGGAUAAGUAAACAAUAAACAGGUGGGAAAGGGAAUAAGAGAAAUAUGUUACUGGCAAAGACUAGUGCACAGGCAAAGUCAUGAAAAUAGCAAAGUAUAAACAUUCGGGAGGCAAAUCAAGGAAAGUGGUAUAGGUGGAAUUUGGGGCUACAGAGGUUUAUUUGGAAACACAGACAGGGGUAACACAACAGUCUUAUGAGGCAGAUUGCCUAACUACAAUGAAGACAGACUCUGAAAACAAACUUUAGACCUAAACGCUAUCUGUGUGAUAUUGGUGAAACUGUGCUGCUUAGAAUCUGUUGCUCUUUUGUAAAAUGGAGAUUCAUUUUAUUUCAGAGCUGUGAAAGUAAAUGAUCCAGCAUCUGGCUCAUUAACAGCCUUAUAAUAGAAAUCAGCUUCAUUAUCUCAUAACUAAAGACUUUUAUGUAUUCUGGGAAGAUAGUUGACUGGGAAAGUUAUCUAACUGGGAGCAGCAUACAGGAUGGAACACACGUUUCUAAGACAGGGAAAACUUUUAGAAAUUAGGGGAGCAGACAUGACAGCAAUUGAUAACUGCAUUUUAGCAAAAUCAGUGCCUGAUAAUCAAUUAGCUAUCCCUAAAUCAUUUCUGAAGACAUUCUGAAAUGCAUCAUAUGCUAAAUCCCUAAGUAUCUGAGAUCUUUUAUGGGAAUCUAUUUUGAUCUGAUUUAUCUAUUCUGAUGUCAAUAUCAUAUGAAAUUCGCUUUACAUUUUUCUUAAGACAAGACAAACUCCACUAUGUACUCAUCUCUCUAGUUAUCCUUUUCAGGAUUUCCUUACAGAUGAAUUGUAGAAUCAGUACUGUCACAUUCCGAAAGUAAGAGAAUCCUUGUUGGGAUUCAACACAGCUGCUCUGGAUUAAAGAACUGUGAUCUUUACAAAGCUUAAUGUUUCAAUUUUUAUAUUUCCUUUGGUUUUAUACAAGCAUCUCUCAUUUUACUACACUUCUCAUUUUUUAAUUUAAACAGAUUUCAAGUUUGUGGUAAGCUUGCGUCAGCAAGUCUACUGACACCAUCUUUUCAACAGCAUUUACUCACUUCAUGUCUCUGCGUCACAUUCUGGUAAUUCUCAGUUAUCUCAAAUCCUCCUUCACAAGAAGUUUACAACUUGCUCAAGGCUCAAACGAUGAUAUCCUCCAAAUCACAAGGACACAAAAGCUGUAUCAGGAAAUUCCCCAGAAAGGCUGUAUUCCAAGCCAAGCCACCUAAGGUCAGCUUAAACUUGGACCAGUCUGGGUUUGAGACCAAGGACUUGGUCAAUCUUCUAUAUCACUUAAUACGCAGCCAACAGGUAUUACCUGGGUCAGUGUUUGGAAUAUACUUCGAGCUGACAGACAUGAUGACCGACUUGGAAGGCAUGUGAAGAAAGACAGCAAAUCUUCCAAUCUGAAUCCUUAAAUGACUGUGUGAAGCAGAGUAAACAGUUAAUCUAAUAAUAUGGUAAAAUACUCUCAAUUUUGCAUCAAGGUAAAGUAACAACUAUUCCAGAUUACUGAGGGAGAAAUACAAACUUCUUAUUCUUUAAACCACUGAAUUUUGAGGUUCUCUUUGUUAUAAAUUUAGUUUAUCCUAAUUAAUAAGUCAUUUAUUCCGUUCCUUAAGCAGAAAUCUUACCACAGGGGUGAAGGCAGGAAUAUGUCUACC